rnacentral:lncRNA from 1 species
AACAGCCCUGCAGGCCGUGAGAGCAGCAGCGGGGCAGCGAGGCUGCCAUGGAUCCCUUCCUGCUGUGCCAGGCACGGCCUGUCCAGAUCUGCAGGGACAGCCCCCGGCUGCUGAGUCCCAGGGGAAGGGGGAGGGAAAUGCACCCACCAUGCUGUCUCUCCAGAUCACUCAGGAUUUCUUCAAGAUGUUUUGAUUCCUCCCUGGAUUUACUCCUUCCUAUAUGUUUGUUCUUUCCUCUCAGGGGACCUUAAGAGAAAUAUUUCCAUUUCCCAGGCAUGGAUACCACAAAACCCGUGCUCAGCCUGUGGAGUCAGCAGGGACACACUACUCACCCCUGCGAUGGAAGCUGGGCUUGCGAGCAACAUGCACCAAAGGACCUGAGAAAGUCUUCUCUGCAGCCACACCUGUAACUCAACAGCCACAGAAGCCUCUGUCAUCUCUGCAGAUCUGCACGGGCAGCACUGAGCCCCAGGAGCGGUGAGGGGAUGGCCCAGGGCGAGGGCACACACGUGCGUGGUUCUGUCCUGGCACCUGCAGCGAUGCCCCCCUGGCCGAGCUUUGGGCUCUGAGCUGGCAGCUCUCGCAGGGGGAAAGGCCUUGACCUACCCUCACCAUCUCCCAGAGGCUCAGUAAUGGGUAUGGGUUGGGAAUCCAGAUCCUCUUCAUCCUCACGUUCAGCUGCAAAGAAAGGCAGGACAGAACACCUCCGGGGACACUGCUGAAGAUUCUCCUUCAGGCUGCAGUGGCAGUGAGUGCCCCUGGGCGAUUGGAGCCCUCCAAGGCAUUCCCUCAGCUCUGCCUUCCACUCAGGAGCAGGGGCAGGGGGACCACAUGCCAGUGCUGGCCCCGCACUGGGAUGGAAGGAGCCCCUUGUGGGGCAGUCAGGGGAGAAAGGACUCCCUGGAGCUGCCAGCAGCUCUAAACCCAGCCGCAGACAGGGCCAGGGCUUGACAGCGGCAGCAGGAGCAGCUCAGGCUCCCUGGGGCAGGCAAAGGAGCUGAGAAAGGCUCAGCCCCGGGACACAGCCCUGGGCCCGGCCCUUCCCUCUCUGCUCUUCUCUGGGGCUGCACAGAGCACACGGAAGGACACACUGGCAUUGCACAUGGGUGGAAGAUGGACAGCUAAAUGCUCCUUCCUCCCACUGACAGUGAUCCUCCUGUGGGAUUGCUGUUGGGCACAGGAGUAGGAAUUUGGGGGACAGGAUUUCUAGAAUACAUCAAACUUCAAAGGAUCUUAAAGGAAAUCACACAUAAAUAUUCCUCUGGACAAUGAUUUCUCUGUUAGGAAAGGGUUGCUGAUAACCUACCUUCACCAGACUUCAAGAUCCUUAAACCGUGGUUUAUCACUCUUUCCAAACGCUUCAAGUCACGGUCCCAAUCUAGAAAGGAGCACAGAUGGGAAAUGUUCCAUGGUGUGCUGGGAUCCCCCUUCUAUGAGGAAGUGAGCACUGCAAGGGGCUCAGGUAAUGCUGUGAGCCCGCCCUGCCAAGCAGCAGAGAGGGCAGCUCAAGGCUCAGCAGGGCUCAGGCCCAGAGGCACAGCAAUUACCUCCUGUGACUGUGCCUGGCAGCGCCUCCCUUCCUGCAGCAGAGGCUGCCAAUGAGCCACUGCUUCCUCUGGGAAACUCAGCCUUCAGCACAGCCUCUCCUUCCAUCUCUGGGGAAAGGAAAAGGGACAGCUGGAUCAUUUGGGCUGUUCCCCAGCAGGAAGGUGGCAUCUUCAGGAGGCAAAGCUUGUCUCAGUCAUGGAUGAGAUUCAGGAUAAAGACCAGGUUACUGGGGCUGCUGCAGGGCCCACCCUCCUUCAAACAUCUGCCCCUCCAGAUGUGCUCAGUGACUGGGAAAUUGCAGGGGAUCUCAGGGUGUGCAUGAGCCAUGGUGCAGUUGGGGCUCCCUGUCAGCUGGUGCCAAAUGCCUUCCUGCAGAGGCUGGGGAGAAGCUGCAGC